rnacentral:rRNA from 1 species
AAGAAAGCACCGGCUAACUCCGUGCCAGCAGCCGCGGUAAUACGGAGGGUGCAAGCGUUGCUCGGAAAUUACUGGGCGUAAAGCGUACGCAGGCGGCUUUGUAAGUCGGGUGUGAAAGCCCCAGGCUCAACCUGGGAACUGCAUCCGAUACUGCAAGGCUUGAGUUCGGGAGAGGGAAGUGGAAUUCCUGGUGUAGAGGUGAAAUUCGUUGAUAUCAGGAGGAACACCGGCGGCGAAAGCGGCUUCCUGGCCCGAUACUGACGCUCAUGUACGAAAGCGUGGGGAGCAAACAGGAUUAGAUACCCUGGUAGUCCACGCCGUAAACGAUGAGUGCUAGAUGUUGGAGGUAUUCACCCCUUCAGUGUCGAAGCUAACGCAUUAAGCACUCCGCCUGGGGAGUACGGCCGCAAGGUUAAAACUCAAAGGAAUUGACGGGGGG